rfam:Pseudonocardia sp. 73-21 SCNpilot_cont_1000_p_scaffold_1696, whole genome shotgun sequence.
GCCGGUCCUCGGUAGUGGCUUCCGGGAGAAGAUCCCGGAGGCUUCGAUCGAAGAUCGGC